rnacentral:snRNA from 1 species
GGGUGUGAGGGCAAUGUGGCUAUGACAUCUGUCACCCCAUUGACUUCCAGGGUUGAUUCAGCUGAUCUGGCUGGCUAGGAGAGUGUCCUCUUCCUCCCUUAUGGCUCCUUGUGCUUCCCUCCCAAAGCUGUGCGCUUGGUCAAAGAGGAUGACCUUUCCCAAAUAGAGGAGGACUGGUCUUUGGUCAAGGGUAUACGAGUAGCUGCGCUCCUCUGCUAGAACCCCCAAACAAGCUCUCCAAUAUCUAUUUGUGAUUUUCUUUUGAGACAAGGUCUCAUGUAGAGACUUACAACUCACACCUGGGGAUAAUGUU